AACGAACGCUGGCGGCAGGCUUAACACAUGCAAGUCGAACGCAUCCUUCGGGGUGAGUGGCAGACGGGUGAGUAACGCGUGGGAACGUGCCCUUCAGUUCGGGAUAACCCAGGGAAACUUGGGCUAAUACCGGAUACGUGCGAGAGCAGAAAGAUUUAUCGCUGAAGGAUCGGCCCGCGUCUGAUUAGCUAGUUGGUGGGGUAAUGGCCCACCAAGGCGACGAUCAGUAGCUGGUCUGAGAGGAUGAUCAGCCACAUUGGGACUGAGACACGGCCCAAACUCCUACGGGAGGCAGCAGCGGGGAAUAUUGGACAAUGGGCGCAAGCCUGAUCCAGCCAUGCCGCGUGAGUGAUGACGGCCUUAGGGUUGUAAAGCUCUUUCGGCGGGGACGAUAAUGACGGUACCCGCAGAAGAAGCCCCGGCUAACUUCGUGCCAGCCGCCGCCGUAACAC
rnacentral:rRNA from 1 species